rnacentral:rRNA from 1 species
GUGAUCGGCCACAUUGGGACUGAGAUACGGCCCAGACUCCUACGGGAGGCAGCAGUAGGGAAUUUUGCGCAAUGGACGAAAGUCUGACGCAGCGACGCCGCGUGAGCGAUGAAGGUCUUCGGAUUGUAAAGCUCUGUUGGGUGGGAAGAAAACCCUUUGGGAGAAUAUCCCUGAGAUUUGACGGUACCACUCGAGGAAGCCCCGGCUAACUACGUGCCAGCAGCCGCGGUAAUACGUAGGGGGCAAGCGUUGUUCGGAAUCACUGGGCGUAAAGGGAGUGUAGGCGGGGAGGUAAGUUAGAAGUUAAAUACACAGGCUCAACUUGUGGUCUGCUUUUAAUACUGCCUUUCUUGAGUAUGGGAGAGGGUGAUGGAAUUCCAGGUGUAGCGGUGGAAUGCGUAGAUAUCUGGAAGAACACCAGUUGGAAGGCGGUCACCUGGCCCAAUACUGACGCUGAGGCUCGAAAGCUAGGGGAGCGAACAGGAUUAGAUACCCUGGUAGUCCUAGCCGUAAACGAUGGAUACUAGUUGCUGGAGGAGUCAAUACUUUCAGUGACGAAGCUAACGCAUUAAGUAUCCCGCCUGGGGAGUACGCUCGCAAGGGUGAAACUCAAAGGAAUUGACGGGGGCCCGCACAAGCGGUGGAGCAUGUGCUUCAAUUCGAUGCAACGCGAAGAACCUUACCUGGGUUUGACAUGGGAGUGAAAGCCACCAGAGAUGGAGGCCCUUCCGCAAGGAACAUUCCACACAGGUGCUGCAUGGUUGUCGUCAGCUCGUGUCGUGAGAUGUUGGGUUAAGUCCCGCAACGAGCGCAACCCCUACCCUUAGUUGCCAUCAGGUAAAGCUGGGAACUCUAAGGGGACUGCCUGUCGUAAACAGGAGGAAGGUGGGGAUGACGUCAAAUCAUCAUGGCCCUUACAUCCAGGGCUAGACACGUGCUACAAUGGCUGGUACAGAGGGAUGCGAACCUGCGAGGGUAAGCUAAUCCCUGAAAACCAGUCUCAGUCCGGAUUGGAGUCUGCAACUCGACUCCAUGAAGUUGGAAUCGCUAGUAAUCGCGGAUCAGCAUGCCGCGGUGAAUACGUUCCCGGGCCUUGUACACACCGCCCGUCAAGCCAUGAAAGACGGUAGUGCCCGAAGUCGUGCGCCCAACCGCAAGGGGGGCAGCGCCGAAGGUAAGACCGUUGAUUGGGGCUAAGUCGUAACAAGGUA